UUCAAUCUUUGCCAUGUGCCGUCCCUCUAUCGCACGGAUUAGUCACUAUUCUCUUGUUGCCACGACACCUCGUGGACGGGCUCCGCCUGACUGCCUCCGCCACCACCACCUCUCCCGCACAGCGUCUGUGCGAAGCGGGCUCCGUCCUAGUAGCAAAUUAGAGAGAAUAUUGAAGAGAGAAGGGAGACAAGAAAUGAGUACUAGAGGAGAACGAGUGUUUCCACAAUACAAAUACGGUUUGUGGACCCCAUGCACAUAGAAACAUAACUUGAUCGAGUUCAGACACACUUUUGCGCUAGUUUCUUUUCUAGCGUUCUCAUGCCGAUUUAGAUUUCUAAUAAGAUGAGUGUGCUCUUCUGUAUCUGAACCAUUGGUCAUGCUUGGUUGUCCAACCAUCCGAUCUAGAAUGCCCCUUAUUAGAAAAAAAGAAUUUUUAUUCCAAUUCACUAAAUCUGCUGCUAUAUCUUCUUAAAGGAAUUGAAAUAAAAAUAAUAAAGUAUUGUUCAUUAAAAUAUUCAAAAUAUCUGAACACAAUAGUUUUGGUCGUUUAAAUUUUAAAAAGUAAAUCAAUGAAAAGUUAUCUGAUUAUUAGCUCACAAAAAGUACCGGUAUGUGUAUAGGAGAAUGAUUUAAGGCUACACUCGGUCACAAUUUAUUUUAAAUUAAUGGGCCACUACAAACGAAAGUGAUACCGUAGUUUCAAUUUAAUGAAGAAAGAGGUUGAACACUUGAACUAGUUUCAUCAAUAUAAAAUCAGGAAUUAGCACUACACACUUUUGAAAUCCCCCUCCUCUAUUGUAGCUCUAGGAUUUUCCACAGAUUAAAAUUUAGUCCAUGUCACAUCGAAUAUUUAGAUACUAAUUAGAAAUAUUAAAUAUAGACUAAUUACAAAACUAAUUGCACAAAUGGAGGCUAAUUCGCGAGACGAAUCUAUUAAACCUAGUCCAUAAUUUGACAAUGUGAUGCUAAUAUAGAUGUGCUAAUUAUGAAUUAAUUAGAUCUAGUAGAUUCAUCUCGCGAAUUAAUCUUCAUUUAUGUAAUUAGUUUUAUAAUUAAACAGGUCGUCCCCGAAGAUUCGAUACGACAAGUACUGAACCUUAGCUCAACCAUCAAAACACCCUUGAUGUACAUUAGUAUUACUGUAUGUAGCUCGCGAAAUAAACAGCGUGAAUAUAUUAUAGUCGAUCCGAGCGCCCCGCUGGUUUCACCCCUCAUCAUCUACCGUUCCCCUCUCUCCCUCGUGCCUUCCUUUCCUGCCGGCGACGACUGGGCGAGCGGCUGCGGCGGCGCCCUGCGCCCGUCUUCGCCGGCCCUUCGCCGGCGACGAGCACCCACCAGGUAUGCCCUCCCCUUCUCUUCCCUUCCUCUUCUGCGAAACGGAGCACCUCGAACCCUAACUGAGCUAUUUGUAUUCGGAUCUGACCCGGUUACAAGCAUGUACAUCUAUCGUACCUACUAACUUCAAUUUUUAGCGUACACCCAUGCCUUAAGCUGGUCCGCCCUCGAUUCUGUUAGGUUAUUGUUCUUCGACGUGCAAGAUCAAUCCACCCGAGGUGCUGCUGCAGAUUGUUUUCCAAAAAUUUUGGUGUUCAGCUGAACCCCCAUGCCCCACGUUACGUCAGCCUUGUGAUUUGGCGUGCUUUGUUAAACGGUCAAUCACCUCUGAAUUGGAAAUCUUGGCUGCAAGAACCAAUGGUAUGUUGGGCCUGACUGAAUCAGAAGAUAGCUGGUUUUAAAGCUUAGGUGGAUGCUAAAUUUCUAACCAGCUUGAGUUGCAGGACGUUAAAGGUCUUGAGGGAGAUAAGCUGGAGAAUAGGCUCUAUGUUGGGAAUCUGGACUUCAGGAUAUCAGAGUGGGUUACUUAUUUCUUUGUGUAUCUAGUUGCAUGUUCGUUUCAUGGUUCACCCUCACCCUUGCGUUCUGCAAACCAACAUUUGUAGCGUUGUUUUUUAGGUCUGAUGUUAUCAAGAUGUUUGCCCCCUUUGGAAAGAUUGCAGCAGAGGAUUUCUUGUGGCACACACGUGGCCCAAAGCAAGGUGAACCCCGGGGCUAUGCCUUUGUUCAAUACACCACCAAGGAGGUAAGAGUAGUAUUUUUUUCCUGUGGCAAAUAACAAUUGGUUAUCGUGUUCUCAGUUCUCACCUUUGCCACCUGAAGUAAGCAUGCAGGAAGCUCAGUUAGCAAAGGAAAAGAUGAAUGGCAAGUUAGUCUGUGGACGUCCAAUGGUGGUUCACCUGGCUAGUGAGAAAAGCUCUCUAGACUCUGGUCCUUCACAAAGAGCACUCAAAGACAAGAAACUGACAGGGGGUUCAGCAAGCAGAUCAGUACAAACUGAUCGCGCUGCAAAGGUAUCUGCCAUAAAAAGCAAGUUAAAAUCUCUUGAGGAAGAAGGGUGCAGCACAAAAAAACCAAGACUCACACCAAAUGACUUGACAGGCACUAGGGAACACUCUCAUAAGAAGUUUUGAACUGAGUUUUCGAGUUCUUCAGAAUGUUUGGGAGUUUGCAUCCUCUCACGCUGGUGACACUUCUAAAGCUGCUGCCAUUCUAUAUGGUUUUAGCUUUAGGAAGCUAGCCACACCAUAUGUGUAACAUUCCACUGUUUUGGAUAUAUGUACAACAGCUUGUACCAAUUACCUGUUUCUGAAUCAAUUUGUCGUUUUGAUAUGGGAAUCAGUGUGGCAAUAUAUUGCGUUGGCAUUGAUAAUGUGCUAGUCUGUGAGUGUCAGUUCCAUUGUUUGUUGCUGCUAUACAUACCACCGUUCUCCGAGAAAAAAUUGAACAUGUACCUGCAUUAAUGAAAUGCUUAUUUACACACAACUACAUGAAAGUAGAACAAAGAUUCAAAAACUGACAUGUACUGUUUUUUUUUAAUUUCUACUCAAUUAAUUUUGACACUUGCUCAAAGGUACACACUAAUACAUGGUAUUUGAUAUGGAUAUGUGUUCAGAUUUUUAUGUCAUCUGCUUGGUUUCAAAUAGACAAUCUUAACGAUUACACACUAUUUGACACAAGGCAGAUGAUAUGAAAAGCUGAAUACGUAUCAAUAUCGAAUGUGGAGUAGCAUCAGGUGAAAAUCUCUUAUGUAUCCAGUUUUUAUACUAUCUAAUGUAUCCAGAAAUAUGCUCAUUUUAUUGAAAGCAUCCAGGUAUAAUUUAGCUAUUACUACCUACUAUUGCAAUCGCAACUAUAUAAGUUGUUUGGAAAUACAAGGUAACAUUUUGACCACUAUUUAUUCCUUUACAAAUUAAAAUAGUUAUAGAUUAUUGAAUCACUUUUCAUGAAGAAUCUUAGUCAUAGUGUCACACCAAUUUCAUAUUUGUCAACUGAGAUAUUUUUCAGUAUAUUGAAACUUGGUAGAACGAACAAAAACUGUUGACUGGCCUCUUAUGUUUGCAAUAGGUCGGAGUAGUUGAAGCUAUCCUUAGUUUUGUUGCUCUGGUUUUUGUUUGAUAUGGUAUAAUGAUGCCAUCAUUGACAUCCAUGUAAUCCAGGGUCAUAUUCUGAAUGAUGAUGCAUUCUUUGAGUAAAAGAGUCUCCAAAGCUGUGUUGCUGGAAAGCUAGAAUUGGUGGGGACAAAAUGUAGUGUAAUGUUCCACAAAGUAUAUUCAGAAGUUCAGAAUCUGUCAUAUUAUGGUCGACAGUAAUUGAUACAUAGCUGCUCUGUCUAGUCUGUUCCUAAGUUUUGGAACAAGGACCAGUAGAGCAAUGACAGAACAACAGCAAUGUCAUUCAUGUCUCUACCUGGCAAAGCUGUCAUUUCUGUACCAGUUAUGCUGAAAUCAUUUAGAUAGAUAGUUGCAUUUUGGUUUUAUGAUAUCAUGCACAUCUCUAUUGUGCUGGAGCAUAAAAAAUUGCAUCAACGCUGAAUUAUUAACAUUAUUGUUCUUUUUUUCCCCUUUAGGAAGUGUGCCUUCAAAAGUUUGUGAUGUGUACAGAAACGAAAUAUUGAGAAGAUCGCCCCGUUUUCUAUUCAUAGUCAGUAUAUUUGAGGUAACUUACAUUCCAUGCCAAGCUAGAGAGUGUAGAUAAUUCCCUUUCCAUUUCCAGACUACUGUUGUUCUGCAAAGGUUCCUUCCAAUUUAAACCGGUUCUUGCUCCUUAAUAUCCUUGGAGUUGUCUUUACCAACUGGAAUGUUUAGGACUCUUUAAAAAAAUUGGAUGCUUAGAGUUGACAUAAAGUGUCUUAGACAUUACCUACUAGAGUAGGCAACUGGGACGCUGGUAGUAAAGAAUAAGAGUUCCUGGCAUUACCUAAGGCUGAGAGAAAAGAAUGUUGUAGUUUAAGAAAGGAAUAUGGAGGUAUUAACAAUAGUUUUACCUUGUAAAUUUUGCACAAAGCAUCUGAUAGCUUUUGCAAAGAUUAACAAAGUAGUAUUUUUUUUCAAUUAAAAAUUAAUGUCGUCUGAAAUGAAUCUGUAUCUUUCUCAAGUACAUUCCUGCACAUUUCCAUGUAGUUUUUUUUUAUGCUUCAUUCACGGAGAUGCAAUUGGUUUGAUUUAGGGACUAUUUGAUGUUGCUUAAGCAUAGCACUUCUAUGCUUGUGAUAUCUAUUUUGCCCCUAGUUUACUCUCAUCUGCAUUAAAACGAGACCAUGUGCCUACUCGAGGAGUCAAACCCAGUGCUUGUUCUAUGCGCUACAUACAGGUCUAGAACACCAACUGAACCCUAUUAAGAAAUGGAGGAGCAUAUCAACACACCUUUGAGGUCUAGACCAGAGACCUACUGGCUGCCGUAGCUCCAUGUCGUUAUUGCAGUUCCCCUGGCUGCUUACAGAGACCAUUGUCCCCUGUUCAAGGGUCUCGAACCUUGUCUCUCCCGGUCCAGGUUCAUGGAACUCCGUUUGAUUUCCCUUCAGAAUCUGAACAUGUUUCCCCGGUCAGCUUACACUCUUCCUGCUCCCAUGGUUUGAAUAUUGCAGGUGUGGCUAGAAAUCAGGCGACACGACGACGAUAACCGCAUAAAAGAUGCCUUGCAGCGGCUUGAAGAGACCGGGUUCGCAUGUGAGGACCACAGAUCUUGCACGGAUCCUGCCCCGGAACCAUAGAUUAUCUUCCCUGAAUUGUUAGAUCUGUGAUGUGAAGGCUGAGGAGCGCCGAGCGUUGCUGUUCCGUCUGGGAGGCUGGGGCUCGCCGGCAUCACAUGUAGGACAUGGCAUGGGGUGGAUGCUGCCUGCUGAAAUGCUGCCGCGGCUUUUUGUCAGGAUUAUCUCACCCACCCGACUAAUCCCGUAUUAUUGCUGCCAACAUUGAUGACCUUGUCUCUGACGGGUCCGGAAGAGCACUGCUUAUUAGUACACUAUUUUGUCAUUUGUCUGGUACCCUGGUCCAGUACGACACAGCAUACCAACCAUACAUGUUCCGGGUGUUCAUCAGACUGAUCUUUCAUCACAGCCAAAUUUCUACUACGUAUAGUAGGUAAUUCUUAU
rnacentral:lncRNA from 1 species